GCCAGCUGUUGAAGGAAGGGAGCGUCACCGUUAUGGACAAAAUGGCCUAUGCACCUUACGCCUAUCUGGGGGACGUCUGGAUCUCUUACGAGAACGUCGAGAGUGUCGUUCUAAAGUGCCUGUGGGCGGAUUCGGUUGGCCUUGGCGGUGUCAUGACAUACGCUAUUGGUAUGGACGACUGGGAAGGAAAAUGUGACAACAAUACCAAGUUCCCAAUACACAAAGCAAUCUGGAAGACCAUCGGCUGAGGAGCACUUCAGUGGUAUUACUUAAUACUUGUAGGUUCUGCCAGAUGGCCAGUGUAUGAAUUACCAUAUGAAUUAAGGUAAGGAGAUAACGAAAAAGCCUGUCAGAGCAAGACCCGUUGUAAACGUUUGACGAGAGAUACGCUGUUGAUACUAAAUAAAGACGGCAUUCCUUGUUUUCUA